rnacentral:rRNA from 1 species
GAGCAUCCAUGAGUAGAGUGGCAAACGGGUGAGUAACGCGUGGGUGACCUGCCUUCGAGUGGGGGAUAACGCUCCGAAAGGGACGCUAAUACCGCAUAAUAUCCCGCCUUUUAAGAGGUGGAAAUCAAAGCCUGGGACCGCAAGGCCAGGCGCUGGAAGAGGGGCCCGCGUCUGAUCAGCUAGUUGGUGGGGUAAUGGCUCACCAAGGCUUCGAUCAGUAUCCGGCCUGAGAGGGCGGACGGACACACUGGGACUGAGACACGGCCCAGACUCCUACGGGAGGCAGCAGUGGGGAAUUGUUCGCAAUGGGCGCAAGCCUGACGACGCAACGCCGCGUGGAGGAUGAAGAUCUUCGGGUCGUAAACUCCUUUCGAUCGAGACGAAUGGCCUCUGGGUGAACAAUCCAGAGGAGUGACGGUACCGAGAGAAGAAGCCCCGGCUAACUCCGUGCCAGCAGCCGCGGUAAUACGGGGGGGGCAAGCGUUGUUCGGAAUUACUGGGCGUAAAGGGCUCGUAGGUGGCCAACUAAGUCAGACGUGAAAUCCCUCGGCUUAACCGGGGAACUGCGUCUGAUACUGGAUGGCUUGAGUUUGGGAGAGGGACGCGGAAUUCCAGGUGUAGCGGUGAAAUGCGUAGAUAUCUGGAGGAACACCGGUGGCGAAGGCGGCGUCCUGGACCAACACUGACACUGAUGAGCGAAAGCCAGGGGAGCAAACGGGAUUAGAUACCCCGGUAGUCCUGGCCCUAAACGAUGAAUG